UACGGAGGGUGCGAGCGUUAUCCGGAAUCACUGGGCGUAAAGGGCACGCAGGCGGUUCGUCGAGUCCGAUGUUAAAGGCCGGGGCUCAACCCUGGCACGGCGUUGGAUACUGGCGGGCUAGACGACUGGAGAGGGAAGUGGAAUUACCAGUGUAGCGGUGGAAUGCGUAGAUACUGGUAGGAACACCCAUAGCGAAGGCAGCUUCCUGGACAGUCCGUGACGCUGAGGUGCGAAAGUGUGGGGAGCGAACCGG
rnacentral:misc_RNA from 1 species